rnacentral:rRNA from 1 species
AACGUAGGAGACAAACGUUAUCCGGAGUUACUGGGCGUAAAGGGCGUGUAGGUGGUAGAGUAAGUCUGGCGUGAAAUUUUUCGGCUUAACCGGGAAAGGUCGUCGGAUACUGCUUAACUAGAGGACGGUAGAGGCGUGUGGAAUUCCGGGUGUAGCGGUGAAAUGCGUAGAUAUCUGGAGGAACACCGGUGGCGAAGGCGGCGUCCUGGACCAACACUGACACUGAGGAGCGAAAGCCAGGGGAGCAAACGGG